CAAUAUCCAAUGUAGAAAAAAAAAAAAGUUCUGCUUCCUUAAAUCCCAACCAAAAUCACCUAUUAUGAACCUAAAUCCUGUAGGUUCUUUUCUAACACUCACUUACUGAGAUAUCUCAUGGUUCCUCGUAGUGUGCAUUCUGCCCUAUAAUGUUAUAGAUUAUGUGAUCUAUCCAUUAUUUCAACAAGCACUAUUGAGUAUCACCUUAAGAGCUCCAGCCAUGAGGACUUACCUGUUGGGUACAAUGUACACUAUUUGGGUGAUGGUUACACUAAAAGCCCAGACUUCACCACCACCCAAUACAUCCGUGUAACAAAAAUGCACUUGUACCCCCAAUCUGUUUUUAAAGUGCCAGCCACUCUUCUAAAUGUUUGAGAGACAGCAGUGAACAAGAGAGAGAGGAAAAAUCAAGUGGGAGGAGAUACAUCAAAGCAAAUACAAUCAGAUAAUUUUAGAUACAAGUGCGAUGGGAAAAAAUAAGUCACUGGAAUAGGAGACUAGGAGUAGAGGGAGAGGUGCUAUUCUAGAUAUAAGGUUGGUGCAAAAGUAAUCACAGUUUUUGCUAUUACUUUUAAUGGCAAAAACUGCGAUUACUUUUGCACUAACCUAAUAGAAUGGUCACAGAAGGCCCUCUGAAGAAAGGAUAUUUUUGUGAGGUGUGGUUGAUGUAAAGAAAUCAGACAUUGGCCGGGUGCGGUGGCUCACACCUGUAAUCCCAGCACUUUCAGAGGCCGAGGAGGGCAGAUCACAAGGUCAGGAAAUCGAGACCAUCCUGGCUAACACG
rnacentral:lncRNA from 1 species